UACGUAGGGCGCAAGCGUUGUCCGGAAUCAUUGGGCGUAAAGCGCUCGUAGGCGGUUUGUUACGUCUGCUGUGAAAUCCUAGGGCUUAACCCUGGGCCUGCAGUGGAUACGGGCAGACUAGAGGUAGGUAGGGGAGAAUGGAAUUCCCGGUGUAGCGGUGAAAUGCGCAGAUAUCAGGAAGAACACCCGUGGCUAAGGCGGCUCUCUAGUACGGUACUGACGCUGAGGCGCGAAAGCGUGGGGAGCGAACAGG
rnacentral:rRNA from 1 species